UGGCGAAACCACUGAGCUAAAUCCCUGGCUCCCCAUAGUGCUUUUAAAUAAUGCAGUAGGCCCUCUAUAUCCUCACACAGAUUGAAAAUAUUAGAAAAAAUUUUUUACCUGUACUGAAUAUGUACAGACUUUUUGUCUCUUGUCAUUGUUCCCUAAACGAUACAAUAUACCUAUUUCCAGAAUGUUCGCUUCUUAUUAGAGAUUAUAAGUCUUGCAGCGAUGAUUUCAAGUCCAUGGAAGGAUAUGCCUAAGUACUAUGCCUAUGGUACUGGUACAUGUAAGGGACUUGAGCAGCCACAGAUUUUGGUACCUGCAGGGGGUCUGGAAGUCAACCCCCAGGAUUCCUGGAGGUGAGACCGUACUGCCUUGGCAUUGAGGAGUGAGUUCUCCUACUGGUGGUUCCUCUUACUGCCUAAAGACACAGGAGGAAAACAAUGCAAAGCAGCUCGUGAAAAGGGUUGAGCACGCCACCAGAAAAAGGCUGGUACCUGGGGCGCAGAGGGCCGUGCCUGUCCCUGAUUCCUCUUAACCCACUCUCCUCGGUCCCGUCAGCACUUUGCCUCAGUGUCUCUGAUUGUCCAGAAAAAGUCAUCGUGCUGCUGACUGUCUUGGAAUAAAGAAAAUCUCAGGACUCGGUCCUUCUUCCUCCUUGCUCUCCAUUGAUUGAGGCCUCAGGCCUGGCAGGAGGAUCUGCUGGCUGCUCCCAGGGGCACGAGGAGCCGAGACGGCCCGGCUCCCGUGGUGGCAGCGCUGGCACACUGCCCAGGCACCACCUCCAGCUGCAGCUGUCCUGCUAUUUGCAGCCCUCCACGUCCUGACAGCCAGCUCCAGGGAUGCUCCUUGGAGGGUGUGAUAGAGCCCCAUAGCCCAGGGGUGUGAGGGAAGCGCUGGGAACCAGGAGAAGGGCAGCAGCCUCUUCUGGGGCAAUGAGAGGCCCUGGGACAUCCAGACACACUGACUGCAGGGUCUUGAGGGCUGAGGGCUGGGCUGCCUGGAGAGUCAGGAACAAGAGCCAGCCACAUUCAUUGAAGCCAACUGAAACAAAGUGAGCAAGUGGAACUGCUAACAUUAAACAGCGGCCAGGCAUGGUGGCACACUCAAUAAUCCCAGCACCCAGGAGGCUGAGGCAGGAAGAUUGCCGCAGUUUGAGGACAGUUUGAACUACCUGUGGAGACCUUAUCUCAAAAAACCAGAAAAAAAAAAAAGUGAACAGACUUCCUCCUGGAGAAACUCAAAGGAUAAAUAAUUUAAAGAGCAAAAUAAAAGAGAUCUUUGCAAAGGGGAAGAGGAUCAAGAGAUGGAAGAGGGAGCAGGGAGGAGAGAGAAAGGGGUGAAGAAAGAACUGAG
rnacentral:lncRNA from 1 species